rnacentral:rRNA from 1 species
GACGAACGUUGGCGGCGUGCUUAAUACAUGCAAGUCAACUGAAGCAGUGGUAGCAGUAUCGCUGUGGAGGUGGCGCACGGGUGAGUAACACGUAGGUAAUCUGCCUUCAGGUCUGGCAUAACUCCGGGAAACCGGGGCUAAUAGCAGAUGAUGCAGCGGCUCGACAUCGAGACAGUUGUUAAAGCUAUGGCGCCUGAAGAUGAGCCUGCGUCUGAUUAGCUAGUUGGCGGGGUAACGGCCCACCAAGGCAACGAUCAGUAGCUGGUCUGAGAGGAUGAUCAGCCACACUGGAACUGAGACACGGUCCAGACUCCUACGGGAGGCAGCAGUAAGGAAUAUUGCUCAAUGGGAGAAAUCCUGAAGCAGCAACGCCGCGUGAGGGACGAAGGGCUUUUGCUUGUAAACCUCUGUAGUGAGAGAAAAAAAUCCCAAUCUUUGGGACAUGAUGGUAUCUCAAAAGUAAGCCCCGGCUAACUACGUG